UACAGAGGGUGCAAGCGUUGUUCGGAAUUAUUGGGCGUAAAGCGCGUGUAGGCGGCAUGGCAAGUCGGGUGUGAAAGCCCUCAGCUUAACUGAGGAAGUGCGCCCGAAACUGCCGUGCUUGAGUGCCGGAGAGGGUGGCGGAAUUCCCCAAGUAGAGGUGAAAUUCGUAGAUAUCGGUAGGAACACCAGUGGCGAAGGCGGUCUCCUGGAGCAGACUUGACGCUGAGGCGCGAAAGCUGGGGGAGCGAACGGG
rnacentral:rRNA from 1 species